AUAGGAGCUAUUUUAAUAAUUUAAUGGGGGCUAAUUAGAAACUCAAGAUGUUUAUAUGGUCAAAUUGUAUCUAUGCUUAAGUAGCUUGUAUUUUACAAGUUGUGAAUGUCUGCACCUAAUAAAAACCAUAUGUAGUAAUACACUCACAAGCAUAUAGCAAAAAUGAGUAAUUUGAGCUUAUAAAUUGGAUAUGUCUCUAUAUCAAAUAAGUUAGUCCUUUACUAUCAAUAUUAGACAAUUACAUAUCGUAGGCUUAGCACCCCCAAUAAGUGGUAUCAAAACCAAUUAACCAUAGAAGCGAACAAAAUGACAUCCGAGCUCAACAGUGAUUUCAUGCUAAGGGAAAAGUUGUUAUGUUCUUAUAGUAGCUAGUAAACAUGGGUUACAUGGGCUAUAAAUAGGAUAAAUUUCUUUACCUUAUAGACUAUUAGCCCCUAAGAAUUAUUUUGUUGAUAUUGCUCAAAAUUAAACAACGUUAUAUUGCUAUAUAUAAAACAGAUUGCAUUACUUAAAAUAUGCAUCUUGUAAAGCUCGUAUCUAAAAUUUUGAUAUCAAUAAUUAGUGUUCAUUGUCAGCGUUAUACAACAUAUUACUUGAACCGGUAUUUUAGCAAAUACGUACUAUAAUUAUUUGUGAUAUCAAUAGUUACUGUUUGUUGUCGAAGUUACAAAGCAAUUCAUAUUUACUUAAAUCCGAGUUUUUAAAUAUUUGUACCUAAAUUACUUUUUUUUUGUCUUAACCACGAUAUAUUCUGGGGAGGGCCUCAACUAUGAGAGGCAUCUUUAAACCCGUAUCAUAACUCAUACUGGAAGUUCCCGCUCGAACCGGGAGGCACAUGUUUUCCCAACUCGUACCUAAAUUACUUUUAUAUCAAUAGUUAGUGAUUGAAAAAAUGAAUUCUUGAACUAAGGCCAGAGAUAAUUGUCUAAAGAUUUAAUACAACAAUUUUUGUAAACAUCCAUAAUUCAAGUCCUCAUUUCACAAGAUAACGACUUUGUCCCUCGAAAAAUUUUCUAUAUAUUUUAUAUAGGUUAACAUGAGAGACUUCAAAAAGUUAAGAGUCAGAUUCCAUUGCAUUUAUUUAAUUUCUUUUUUUCUGUAGUUGACCCAAAUUUUAUACACCAUUGACUAGCCAGUGUAGGCUGCGUAGCAAUGUUAAAGCAAACGAAUAGAAGAAUUAAUCUGAUUGAUGAUUGGCUAUCUGCAAAGUGUCCACGUUUAUAAAAAAAAUUAAAAUAUUUGCAAUGAGCAAUCUGUCAAAACAAAGUUAAACUGGCGGCAAUCAAUUGAAUAUAUAAACUUUUAUUAUUAUUAU
rnacentral:lncRNA from 1 species